CAACGCUCAAAAAUCACUGUACGACAAAUGACUAUAUUUUGUCACAGGAUUUUUGAGUGUUGCU
rnacentral:pre_miRNA from 1 species